AUUGAACGCUGGCGGCAUGCCUUACACAUGCAAGUCGAACGGUAACGCGGGGCAACCUGGCGACGAGUGGCGAACGGGUGAGUAAUAUAUCGGAACGUGCCCAGUAGUGGGGGAUAGCCCGGCGAAAGCCGGAUUAAUACCGCAUACGACCUACGGGUGAAAGCGGGGGAUCGCAAGACCUCGCGCUAUUGGAGCGGCCGAUAUCAGAUUAGGUAGUUGGUGGGGUAAAGGCCUACCAAGCCUGCGAUCUGUAGCUGGUCUGAGAGGACGACCAGCCACACUGGGACUGAGACACGGCCCAGACUCCUACGGGAGGCAGCAGUGGGGAAUUUUGGACAAUGGGCGCAAGCCUGAUCCAGCCAUGCCGCGUGCGGGAAGAAGGCCUUCGGGUUGUAAACCGCUUUUGUCAGGGAAGAAACGCUCUGGGCUAAUACCCCGGGGUAAUGACGGUACCUGAAGAAUAAGCACCGGCUAACUACGUGCCAGCCGCCGCCGUAAGAC
rnacentral:rRNA from 1 species